ACUACUGCAUGAAACUCAUCCAUGGUCUACCGAUGUACUGGUGGAUGAUCAUACAAUCUGAUUAUCAUCUCUGCAGUUGUUGUUUGUCCCCUAUAAAGGGCCUCCAUCCUGGACUCCACCAAGGACAUAUACAUGUCCCGCAUCUGAAAGGGAGCAGCCUGUUGUGCUGAUGCGUCGUCAGGUACUUGUUGCUGUUGUGCUGCAGCUCUUCUGCGACGUCUCCCGAGUACUCCUCCUGCUGCUCCUGCC
rnacentral:lncRNA from 1 species